CCGGAGAGGGGGAGCCGCGGGGACGCAGCGACAGAGUCGGGGUGCUGGCAGCGGUCGCCCACGCCUCCCAGGGGUUGCAGGCCUGGGCGCCGGGGUUGGACCAGUCUUCCGGGCAUUGCACGCCCUAGUUUGGUCUGUACCCAUGGUUUGUGGCGGGGCAAGACGUUAAGUUGGGUAACACCGAGGUGAGCCGCGGUCCUCGGCACCAGAUGAGGAACCACUGUCUCAAUAAGCUGAGUGCCAUGAGAGGACAGUGACAACCUCGGAGGCCUCAUGGUGAAGGUGGCAGAACCUUUGUUAGCCUGGGUGCUCAGGGUGGACAGCUGCUCUUGCCAACUGGGAACAUCUGCCUCGAGCGCUUUUAUUAUUAAAAACUCCAAUUUGUGUCUGUGUAACUCAACGUGGGAACCUGGAACCAUGUUUACUCUUCUGAUGACCCUGAAAGCCUGACUCGAGUGCUACAUGGAUAAAAGAGUGAGUUGAUGGAGCUGGCCUUGGGCAAGCUCAUUCUUCUGGCAUGUGGACAAAUGCCUGACAAGAUGAUUAUAUCAGGAAGUUACAGGAAGGAGAUGGAACAAGCAAUUUAGGCCUGGAUUCUGCUGUGCUCUCGCCAAAUGAGAUAGCCAGGGACUCAGUGAGAGGAGGUGCCAGAAAGGCGCCCUCCGAGCAGCUCCUGUACCUCUUUCCCUGGGGCGGCCAGUACGAAUGCAUGAGGCACGUGUGGGGACUCUGCUUCUGAGUUCGGAUACUGGGGGCCAUCACCAUUAUCUCUGAAUGUUCCAGAUGAGAACACUGAGAUCCAGAGCUGCCGCCCCUCAAGGCCUCUAGGCAGAGAGGUGGAGUGGAGGCUAAGUCCAUUACCCUUCAGCCACCCAGCACUGCUAUGCCAAUGCGUUUACCAUUUCAGUGCCUCCUCACUGGUCUAAGUGACAGACGCUGACAUUCACACAUUGUCAGCCAGGGUGGGUGGCACCGUGCCAUGGAUGGCACCAAAUUGGGUGUUGAGGCAGUACUGCUGUGUCCCUUCCCCCCGGCCCUCCCAGCUCAUUGGCCCCAGUUGUGCAUGUAGCAGGGCCUCAGUAAAUAGGUAUGGGAAUGAGCAGAGUAAUCUGCCUCAGGAAUCUUAGAAAAACACGGAAACAACCUUACCAACAGUACUUGGUCUAACACAUCAUAGCCCUCUAAGUGGUUUCACUGUUAUCUUGUUUCAUGUACCUGCUGUCGUUUGAAAUUGUUUCAGGGUAUAAGCAAAUAAUUAAAAUAUCAAUUAAGCCACGUUCUGAAAUACAUCAGGCUAUGUGUGAGCAUGAAUUAGGAAAAAGUCAAAUGACAAUUCAUCAAUCUAGGACUCAUUCCCCAGGUACAAUCCACAACCCACCUCCCCUGCAUCCCAGUUUUGCUCCAGGUAUGUUACAGUCCUCACUGCACUGUGCCUUACUAAUUGUUCGUCAUGUUGCUCUCUUGUCUCCUCCCUCGGGAAUUCUUCCUCCUUUUUCUGUAUGUAAAAGAAAAUCUUCCUUAAUCUUCAAAGCUCUGGGCCUGGAGCUCCAAUUUUGUUUGUGUUUUUGUAACACCUUUUCCCCCCAUCCGUUCUUGCAGACUUUGCUAUUGCCUUCGAUGCUGCCGCAGGCCUGCACUGUAUCACUCCUUACAUUGUAUUGUAAUGAUUCCCUUCCCUUCCCUUCCCUUCCUUUCCCCUCCCUUCCCUUCCUU